rnacentral:lncRNA from 10 species
CUGAAACUUCUUGGAUAUUCUUAACCGAAACAUUUUGUGCUGACCUUUAGAUUCUGCAGCUUUAAAAUGGUGACAAAAAUAUCUUUCCUGACAGAUUUACAAGGUGAUUUUGAGAAACAGAUAAAAUAAUGAAUUCAUAGGUGUUAUGUAAAUAAGUUUUAUAAAAUGUUAUAAAGUUUAAAGUGUUAUGAAGAACACUAUACUGACCCCUCACAAAGAGGCAUGAAUUCUUUCCCCCUCCCCUCCCCUUGAGAUGGAGUCUCGCUCUGUCGCCAGGCUGGAAAGCAGAAUUAUUCAAAUAAUUUAUUUCAUUUUGCUUUUAAUCCUUUGUAUCUAUAUUUCCCAGAAACAUUCUAGGGUGUUUUAAAUAAGUAAAUAUUCACAGUUCACAGAAUCCAAAAAUGCAUUCAAAUAUCUACCACUC